rnacentral:rRNA from 1 species
AGUGGCGUAAGGGUGCGUAACGCGUAGGAAUCUGCCUUGGACUGGGGGAUAACCUGGGGAAACUCGGGCUAAUACCGCAUAUUGCCGAAAGGUGAAAGAUUUAUCGGUCCAAGAUGAGCCUGCGUAUGAUUAGCUAGUUGGUAGGGUAAUGGCCUACCAAGGCGACGAUCAUUAGCUGGUCUGAGAGGAUGACCAGCCACAAUGGAACUGAGACACGGUCCAUACUUCUACGGAAGGCAGCAGUAGGGAAUUUUGCGCAAUGAGCGAAAGCUUGACGCGGCAAUGCCGCGUGUAGGAAGAAGCAUCUUGGUGUGUAAACUACUGUCGGCGGGGAAAAACAAAAUGAUUGUACCCGCAGAGGAAGCAUCGGCUAACUACGUGCCAGCAGCCGCGGUAAGACGUAGGAUGCAAGCGUUGUCCGGAUUUAUUGGGCGUAAAGAGUUCGUAAGCGGUUAUUUAAGUCUAAUGUGAAAUCGUAGGGCUCAACCCUAUACCCGCAUUGGAUACUGAGUAACUAGAGUAAGGUAGGGGUCAGAAGAAUUCCUGGUGUAGCGGUGAAAUGCGUAGAUAUCAGGAGGAACACCGGUGGCGAAAGCGCUUUGACUGGGCCUUUACUGA